GUUUCAGCCGCCGCGGUAAUACGUAGGGUGCAAACGUUGUUCGGAAUCACUGGGCAUAAAGCGCGCGUAGGCGGUCUGAUAAGUCCUGUGUGAAAGCCCCCGGCUUAACCGGGGAAUCGCACAGGAUACUGUCGGGCUAGAGUACAGGAGGGGAGAGCGGAAUUCCUGGUGGAGCGGUGAAAUGCGUAGAUAUCAGGAGGAACGCCGGUGGCGAAAGCGGCUCUCUGGUCUGUUACUGACGCUGAGGUGCGAAAGCUAGGGGAGCAAACGGGAUUAGAAACCCUGGUAGUCC
rnacentral:rRNA from 1 species